UGUGUGUGUGUGUGUGUGUGUGUGUGUCAGUGUGUGUGUGGGGGGGGGUUCUUUUGUUAUGUAAGAGGGGAGCAGGUGGACAGGAGUGGUCACUCCUCUGGACACACAGUGCAACUGGAUGUGACAGAGGAAGAUGCAGGCGGGGCCACCUUCACUAGCCUUCAGUACUGCCUGAGGAAUGCUAGUUCAAGACAUGAUUUUAUUACAAGGACAAUGAACUUGGUACUCAUUUUAUCUAUAUAUCCGUUGUUUAGUUGGUUUUAGGAUUUAGCUAUUUAGUUAGUAUCAAACAUACAAAGACAAUGUUGAAAAGUUCAAUAGCUUUUCUCUGUGUUUUCUGUGCAGUGCAAGCUGAAUAAAUGUCGGUCUUUGGCAUUCAAGGAAGCUACCUGUUUGUAUAUUUUUGUGUGCAUCUUGUUCUGAUUGGAAGCUCUUUUUUGUCCCUCUGUUUUGUUUUGUUGUUGUUUUUUAUGUGGUGACAUGUCAUAUUUGCAUACAUUUAUCUACACUGCUGCCACGGUCGGGUGAAGAUGUCGCAUCUCCAAAAUGACAACUUUUCAGGAAUCAGGGUUGUUCUUUACCUUUUAGACAAACUUUCACUCCUGAGCUCCAACUGGUUUUGGAAAUAUCUAUAAAACAAUGAAUAUCUGUCUGCCUGUAAUCUUGGUCCAGGAGAUUUUGUUGCGAUUUGUUCCACUGGCCUCUGGUUGCAUCUCUUCCCUGAACUAUAAGGCCGUCACAUCCCAUCAAAACAAGGCUUAGGACAGCAUCUUAUCACCACGGAUGGUUGUUUACAUCUUGAAGCUUGUUAUCUUAAUCCAGCAGCCUCUGCGUUGAACCAACACUUUUGAAGAGGAUGAAGAUAUGAGGCAGAGAUACAGAGAAUCUGCGCUGUCUGUCCUGUCCUACUGCUGUGUAAUGCAGGCCACGGUCCCAACAUCCUCCUGUAGGCUUAUGCACCGCUAAUCUGCCUGUGUUUAUACUGUACAUCCACACCGCCUAUUAAACAGAGUGCUGUAUGAAAGCCGGGAGCUGAGA